GCCUGGGUGGCUCAGUUGGUUAAGCAUCUGACUUUGGUUCAGGUCAUGAUCUCACAGUUUGUGGGUUUGAGCCCCACAUCAGGCU
rnacentral:tRNA from 1 species